UGAUAGCUGGCUGGUAGACUUGUCUAAAGGAUUACUGGACGCGCUAUGGAAUUUUCAGUGAUGGCCGUUGAGGAAUGAUGCUACGUUAAUAUGAAAGGCUGGUUUAAAAAGAUUAACUGUUAUCGUCUCAAGAGAUUCUUCAGAACUUCAAUAUCGAAUCAUUUUUUUUUCCUUCCACCCAAUCGGGGGCGGUGCCCCUGAUGGGGUGGAGGUGCUCCCUUGGGCUUGCAUAGUAGGCGUGUUGGCCUACUGUGCUAGUCCUUGGAGUUUAUUUUUCGUCACAGAUGACCGUGACCUUGUUCUGAGGGGUUUAGAAUGGCUGACUCAAGGAUUUGGAGUUGUGCAAUUAGUUCUUGAAAUACUAUUUCCAUCUGUUACAAAAGUGAGGCUUUCCAAAUGUUAGUUUUCGAAAUAUGAUAAAACAAGUUUUGAGAAAAUCAUUCUGUAACCAUGAAUUAAUGAUUAAUUAAAUAUUCCAGCGUGGAUUGUCCUGUAAUUACCGAUUAAUUAAAUAUUCAAGUGUGAAUAGUCCUGUAAUUACCAAUUAAAUAUUCCAGUGCGUGGAUCGUCCUGUAAUUACCAAUGUAUUGUAAUCACAUGACAUUGAACUUAGUUUUUAAAAAAAGGGUACAUGUUUUAAAAUUAAAAGAUGCGAGGUUC